GAUGAACGCUAGCGGCAGGCUUAAUACAUGCAAGUCGUACGGGAUCCGAGGUAGCAAUACUUUGGUGAGAGUGGCGCACGGGUGCGUAACACGUAUGCAACCUACCUAUAACCGGGACACAACCUCGAGAAAUUGAGGCUAAUAUCCCAUAACACUGCGAGAUGGCAUCAUUUUGCAGUUAAAACUCCGGUGGUUAUAGAUGGGCAUGCGCGACAUUAGCUAGUUGGUGAGGUAACGGCCCACCAAGGCUACGAUGUCUAGGGGUUCUGAGAGGAUUAUCCCCCACACUGGUACUGAGACACGGACCAGACUCCUACGGGAGGCAGCAGUAAGGAAUAUUGGUCAAUGGGCGCAAGCCUGAACCAGCCAUGCCGCGUGAAGGAUGACGGCCCUAUGGGUUGUAAACUUCUUUUGUACGGAACGAAAAGGUUUUCNCUAAUACAGAGGGCUCAUGACGGUACCGUAAGAAUAAGCGCCGGCUAACUACGUGCCAGCAGCCG
rnacentral:rRNA from 1 species